rnacentral:misc_RNA from 1 species
CUAUCAAUACUCUAUAAUUCUCUAAACAAAAUUGCCAAACUAUUUCUUAGAGAAUUUAUAGUGAAUAUGAAUUCUCCGGUGACAUGUCUCAUCGCAGAUGGAAUCUUAAGCAUGGCAGGUGAUGUAGCGCAAGAAAUCAACUUGCCUCUCAUCUAUUUCCGCACAAUCAGUGCCUGUGCCUUUUGGUCCUACUUUUGCAUUCCUCACCUAAUUCAAGCUGGACAACUUCCCCUCAAAGAAAAUGCAAUGGAUUUGAUAUUGACGAAGGUAAAAGGCAUGGAAAAUUUUCUGAGAGGUCGAGACCUUCCAAGCGUUUGUCGGGCGAGUGACGUAACUAGACCGGAUUUUAGGAUACUAAUGACAGAGACGCUACAAACCCCUCGAGCGCGAGGACUCAUACUUAACACAAUUGAAGAUCUUGAAGGCCCCAUACUUUCUCAAAUUCAAACGGUAUGUCCAAAUGUUUAUACAAUUGGACCAGUUCAUGCCCAUCUAAAGGCUAAACUUGCAACAACAUCUACCUCUUCAAACAGUUUGUGGCAAGAAGAUGAAAGUUGCAUGUCUUGGCUUGACACACAGCCACCAAAAUCUGUGAUAUAUGUUAGUUUUGGAAGCAUUGCAGGGUUGACAAAAGAAGAGCUACUAGAAUUUUAGUAUGGUCUAGUGAAUAGUGAGCAAAAGUUCUUGUGGGUGAUGAGGUCAGACUUGAUAAUCGGACAAGAGAGAAAAGAUGAGAUUCCUGUGGAGCUGGAGCAGGGUACAAAGGCAAGGGGCUACAUGGCUGAUUGGGUUCCACAAGAAAAGGUAUUGGCACAUAGAGCAAUUGGGGGUUUCUUGACUCACUCUGGA